UAUACUCGGUCUCUAGCGACACGGAUCAUUUUAUUGGCGGCAUCCAACAUAAGCCAAGGAGAAGGUUGUGCAUUAGAUGGGUAGCUGGAAACAUUUACAGAUAAAACGAGGGUAUCUAAGAGUUUAAGGAAGCUAACACAGUCAUAACAAACAAGAGCACUUGUUUAGUUAGAGAUUAUUUAUAUCGAAAAAGGAAAGAAAAGACGAACCUGAGAAGAAACUUAAGAGUCGAGAGAUCUCCAACCAACUGUUUGGUUUUUGGGCUAACUCUGUGCCAUACAGAAUCUAGUUGUCUUCGCACUAUAACGUCAAAACUACGAUGUAAGGCAGACUCGAUAUUCCAAUCCUCCAUAUCCAGAUAAGCAGAAUUUAGUCUUCGUAAUUCUCUCAUUGUACUUUCUAUACAGGUUAAUAGGCAUGACUGAAUUGUUUUUUGGGAAUCACUUAGGUUAACGUUCAACUCUACCACAUUUGCAGGGCUUUUUUCAAGGGACUCUGCCACAACUACAUGAAAUCUGGGAUAUAUAAAUACAUGUCGAAGAAACAGGCAUCUUAGGCAAUGACUGAGAGCAUUUAUUCCCAUCAAAAAUUGCUCUGGAUCAUCACUAAAAGCUUUAAUGAACCCAGUUUUAUUGGUUUCACGAUACAAUCGCAUUAUGAACGCUACCGUUCCAGUAGAGACAACUCUGUAAGAACCAUAUGUAAGAAAUUAUUUCCUUAGAAAUCGCUUACCUAUCUGCAUGUAAUAAUACAAUUCCAGUGAUUUUUUCUGUUGGAAUAAUUUUUGUCAACAAAUCCAUCACUAAUAUGCGGCUUGUAAUGGCGAAA